UAGGUGAACCUGCGGAAGGAUCAUUAUUGAAAUAAACCUGAUAAGUUGCUGCUGGUUCUCUAGGGAGCAUGUGCACACUUGUCAUCUUUGUAUCUUCACCUGUGCACCUUUUGUAGACCUGACUAUCUCUCUGAAUGCUUUAUAGCACUCAGGAUUGAGAAUUGACUUCUUGUCUCUUCUUAUUUUUUCAGGUCUAUGUUUCUUCAUAUACCCUAAUGUAUGUUUAUAGAAUGUAAUUAAUGGGCCUUUGUGCCUAUAAAUUUUUUACAACUUUCAGCAACGGAUCUCUUGGCUCUCGCAUCGAUGAAGAACGCAGCGAAAUGCGAUAAGUAAUGUGAAUUGCAGAAUUCAGUGAAUCAUCGAAUCUUUGAACGCACCUUGCGCUCCUUGGUAUUCCGAGGAGCAUGCCUGUUUGAGUGUCAUUAAUAUUAUCAACCUCUUGGGUUGGAUGUGGGUUUGCUGGCCUCUUCAGGUCAGCUUCCCUUAAAUGCAUUAGCGGACAACAUUUUGCCAACUGUUCAUUGGUGUGAUAAUUAUCUACGCUAUUGAUGGUGAAGCAAGGUUCAGCUUCUAACAGUCCAUUGACUUGGACAAGCUUAUUUUAUUAAUGUGACCUCAAAUCAGGUAGGACUACCCGCUGAACUUAAGCAUAUCAAUAAGCGGAGGAAAAGAAACUAACAAGGAUUCCCCUAGUAACUGCGAGUGAAGCGGGAAAAGCUCAAAUUUAAAAUCUGGCAGUCUUUGGCUGUCCGAGUUGUAAUCUAGAGAAGCAUUAUCCGCGCUGGACCGUGUACAAGUCUCCUGGAAUGGAGCGUCAUAGAGGGUGAGAAUCCCGUCUUUGACACGGACUGCCAGGGCUUUGUGAUGUGCUCUCAAAGAGUCGAGUUGUUUGGGAAYGCAGCUCAAAAUGGGUGGUAAAUUCCAUCUAAAGCUAAAUAUUGGCGAGAGACCGAUAGCGAACAAGUACCGUGAGGGAAAGAUGAAAAGAACUUUGGAAAGAGAGUUAAACAGUACGUGAAAUUGCUGAAAGGGAAACGCUUGAAGUCAGUCGCGUUGUCCAGGGAUCAAUCUUGCUUUUGCUUGGUGUACUUUCUGGUUAACGGGUCAGCAUCAAUUUUGACUAUUGGAAAAAGAUCAAGGGAAUGUGGCAUCUUUGGAUGUGUUAUAGCCCUUGGUUGCAUACAAUGGUUAGGAUUGAGGAACUCAGCAC
rnacentral:rRNA from 1 species